UACGAGCCGUACAAACGUUAUUCGGAAUCACUGGGCUUAAAGGGUGCGUAGGCGGCCAUGUAAGUGAGGUGUGAAAUCCCUCGGCUCAACCGAGGAACUGCGCUUCAUACUGCAUGGCUUGAGGGAGACAGGGGUAAGCGGAACUGAUGGUGGAGCGGUGAAAUGCGUUGAUAUCAGCAGGAACACCGGUGGCGAAAGCGGCUUACUGGGUCUCUUCUGACGCUGAGGUACGAAAGCUAGGGUAGCGAACGGG
rnacentral:rRNA from 1 species